CGAAUGCUGACAUAAGUAACGAUAAAGCGGGUGAAAAGCCCGCUCGCCGGAAGACCAAGGGUUCCUGUCCAACGUUAAUCGGGGCAGGGUGAGUCGACCCCUAAGGCGAGGCCGAAAGGCGUAGUCGAUGGGAAACAGGUUAAUAUUCCUGUACUUGGUGUUACUGCGAAGGGGGGACGGAGAAGGCUAUGUUGGCCGGGCGACGGUUGUCCCGGUUUAAGCGUGUAGGCUGGUUUUCCAGGCAAAUCCGGAAAAUCAAGGCUGAGGCGUGAUGACGAGGCACUACGGUGCUGAAGCAACAAAUGCCCUGCUUCCAGGAAAAGCCUCUAAGCAUCAGGUAACAUCAAAUCGUACCCCAAACCGACACAGGUGGUCAGGUAGAGAAUACCAAGGCGCUUGAGAGAACUCGGGUGAAGGAACUAGGCAAAAUGGUGCCGUAACUUCGGGAGAAGGCACGCUGAUAUGUAGGUGAAGUCCCUCGCGGAUGGAGCUGAAAUCAGUCGAAGAUACCAGCUGGCUGCAACUGUUUAUUAAAAACACAGCACUGUGCAAACACGAAAGUGGACGUAUACGGUGUGACGCCUGCCCGGUGCCGGAAGGUUAAUUGAUGGGGUCAGCGCAAGCGAAGCUCUUGAUCGAAGCCCCGGUAAACGGCGGCCGUAACUAUAACGGUCCUAAGGUAGCGAAAUUCCUUGUCGGGUAAGUUCCGACCUGCACGAAUGGCGUAAUGAUGGCCAGGCUGUCUCCACCCGAGACUCAGUGAAAUUGAACUCGCUGUGAAGAUGCAGUGUACCCGCGGCAAGACGGAAAGACCCCGUGAACCUUUACUAUAGCUUGACACUGAACAUUGAGCCUUGAUGUGUAGGAUAGGUGGGAGGCUUUGAAGUGUGGACGCCAGUCUGCAUGGAGCCGACCUUGAAAUACCACCCUUUAAUGUUUGAUGUUCUAACGUGGACCCGUGAUCCGGGUUGCGGACAGUGUCUGGUGGGUAGUUUGACUGGGGCGGUCUCCUCCUAAAGAGUAACGGAGGAGCACGAAGGUUGGCUAAUCCUGGUCGGACAUCAGGAGGUUAGUGCAAUGGCAUAAGCCAGCUUGACUGCGAGCGUGACGGCGCGAGCAGGUGCGAAAGCAGGUCAUAGUGAUCCGGUGGUUCUGAAUGGAAGGGCCAUCGCUCAACGGAUAAAAGGUACUCCGGGGAUAACAGGCUGAUACCGCCCAAGAGUUCAUAUCGACGGCGGUGUUUGGCACCUCGAUGUCGGCUCAUCACAUCCUGGGGCUGAAGUAGGUCCCAAGGGUAUGGCUGUUCGCCAUUUAAAGUGGUACGCGAGCUGGGUUUAGAACGUCGUGAGACAGUUCGGUCCCUAUCUGCCGUGGGCGCUGGAGAACUGAGGGGGGCUGCUCCUAGUACGAGAGGACCGGAGUGGACGCAUCACUGGUGUUCGGGUUGUCAUGCCAAUGGCACUGCCCGGUAGCUAAAUGCGGAAGAGAUAAGUGCUGAAAGCAUCUAAGC
rnacentral:rRNA from 1 species